UACGAAGGGGGCUAGCGUUGCUCGGAAUUACUGGGCGUAAAGCGCACGUAGGCGGCUCUUUAAGUCGGGGGCGAAAUCCUGGAGCUCAACUCCAGAACUGCCUUCGAUACUGUAGAGCUUGAGUUCGGGAGAGGUGAGUGGAACUGCGAGUGUAGAGGUGAAAUUCGUAGAUAUUCGCAAGAACACCAGUGGCGAAGGCGGCUCACUGGCCCGAUACUGACGCUGAGGUGCGAAAGCGUGGGGAGCAAACAGG
rnacentral:rRNA from 1 species